CUUUAGAUGUUACUAUUUUAAACAAUCUUAUGCAAUUUCAGUUUACAGUGAUUACAAAUUGAUUAUUGAUAUGUUUUAUUUCCUUGAAAUAGGCCACAUGUGGAGAUUUUCCACUAAGGCACCAAGACUCGUCAAACCUCUACAUCAAAAUACUUAUUUGUAAGACAACUGGAGUGACACUCGCCAAACUUCUAGUAUAGCACACCACGAUUUUACAGCUGAAUAUCGACAAAACUAGGACUUUUUACCUCCAAUGCCUACAUCAACACUAGCUGCUACAGAUCAUGGACAGAUGUACAGGAAUAUAAACCUUUCACACACUAUAACACAUGACACCUUGAGAGAUUCACCAUCAACUCUGCCAGCACCACCACCACAACAAUUACCACCAUCACAACAAUCGUCACCGCCAGCACCACCAUCACCCAUCCUAUCACCACAAUCACCUCUGCCAGCACCAUCCACUGAAACUGAAACACUUCACAUGUCAUCACCACCACUUAGACGCUCAUCCAGGAAGCACAAGGGAGGACAACAGGAAAAGAUAAAGCUUGUCGAGGGUAAAACACGGAGGUAGACCCGGAUGGCAUGAGGAUAGCCACUUCUUCCGCAAGGAAAUCGAAGAAGCCAGGGUACACACUUUGUUACUAACUCCUGGCAGAGCUUUUCUCCUUGCAAACUCUGGCCAUUUCUCGUGGCCAGGGCAUAAGGAAAAAGACACGCGGCUAGGAUAAGGCUGUCCGUAAAAUAUCAAACUGUUCCAACUGUAUUAACUUCUCUGAACUACCUAAAUAUGACGUCAUAAUAGCAUAUGACGUAAAGAUUUUUUAGCGUUGUUGUUUGAUUCAAGUGUCUGAAUUGUUCUUUAAGCUUAAGUGUCCUUUUAAGAUGUUGAACAUUUGCAAUUUAAUAUCGUUAUUCCUUUAACUUGUCCGAUAUACAUAUAUUCAAACAAUAACAAAAAAUUGACUGCAAAACGCUCCCCCUUACACGUCCGUGGACAGAGUUAGAAUCUAUAAAUCGUGUAUAUAUUUGAUUGGCACAAGUGAUUAAUAAGGAUAAAUUGAAGAUAUUCGCUGUGAAUCUACUAGAGAAGUAUGUCCUCUAACUGAAUUUUGCUGGGGGAUUGUAUGUAAUUUAUCUUAUUUUGUAUUAAUUGCGAUUAUGAGUGGAAAUUGCCCCCUUGUAUACGGGUAAGUUGAAUUUCUCAUUGAAUAUUUUCUAAAGAAAUAAAAUUCAGACUUGCCCCCAGCACUUUAUAUGUACCAAAGAUCACGAUGAAUUGACUUAUGGGACAAAUUUUUCUCAAUAAUGUUGUUUUGCACUUGUGCCGAUGCGAUUUUUGUGCAACAUUUAGGAAUUUAUAAGUGUCAUUCACGUGAUCAACGAAGUCAUGUGACAUCUCAGAAAUGCAUUAUUAUAAUACUUGUUUACACUCUCAUCACAAGUUGACUGCAAAUUCAUACAUAGAUUACAAAUUGAAAUCAAAAUCUAGCUCAGAAUAAAAGGUAUAUUUCAUGCAUAUUAAACCUUCGGACAGCCUUAACAUAGCUGCGCAACGGAAGAUCAAGGCCCGUACUUGAUGGCGACAAAAUCAGUGUCCUUACAAAUUUUGUUGUUGUAUGGUGCAAGAAAAACGGCUUCCUUGUUGGAUCAACCAUAUGAUGCCAUAACAGAGAGAAUCAAUAUUCUAGGAAACAGUUAAGGCCGAAAAAAAAAUAAAUGUGACUCUGACUUGAAUCUUUACAUGCAUGAACAUGCAUGAAGAAAAUUUUUACUUUUACAAAUGCUGAAACUUUAAUGUUACUCUGACUUGAAUAUAUAAACGCAUGAACAUGUAGGAAGAAAAUUUUUACUUUUCAAUACAAAUGUUGAAACAAUGCGACUCUAACUUGAAUGUUUACAUGUAUGAACAGGUAUGAAGAAAAUUUUUACUUUUCAAUACAAAUGCUGAAACUUG